GUUCUCGUAGUUGAAUACAACGGUGGCUUUUCAGGUCGCUGGUCUCGGUUAGACCCCGGGCGAGAACC
rnacentral:tRNA from 1 species